CCAAACAAAACUAUUAUUAAAUUAUUAAAAUUUAAAAUAAAAUAAAAUACAUACUCAUAUAAAAUACUAUUCACAUUUCUGUCUUUUUUAAUGUGUUUUCAUGUAUGUGACGUAAAUUCGCUGCAAGUGCUAAGCCUUUAUGAGAAACAAUUAAUUAGCCAACUAAGAGUAGGCUACCUGUUUGAGAUUUGUCACAUGUGCAAAUUUGCCACAGGAAUCAGUUUUUUAAUGGAAACUCCAAACGUACAAACAAAAGACAAAGACUUUUUAACAAGCAUAAGAAACUUUUUUUUCUUUCUUUCUUUUUUUUUCUGUUUAAAAUACAGAUAACAAAAACGUUUUAGUGAACUAGAUACUGAAGGCAUAAGAUGGCGCUAGUGACCUAUUCUAUUUGUGCGUGCUGCUGAGGUGAAGGUUCAGCUGCUUCCAGGAUGGCAGAGAAUAGAAAUCAAUCCGAGAGAUCCCCAUGAUCAGGUUAAAGUCGUCGUUUGAGAGAUAGUCCUGCAUAGAUGAUAGAGGCAGGUCUUCUGUCUGAACGUUCAACAGCUCCUCUGGAGGGAAGGUUUCUGUGACAGCCCGGGUGGUCUGGAAAGGAUAUGAACAAUUGUGAAGAGAGAAAAUCAUGCCGACGUUCACCUGAUCCCAGAUGUCCAGCAACAUCACGUCCUCCUCAUCCAAGUCAUCUUGGUUAAAGUUUGUAAUCUCUGUCGCUAUAAAACGAC